rnacentral:rRNA from 1 species
UGAGUAACAUGUAUCCAACCUGCCGUCUACUCUUGGACAGCCUUCUGAAAGGAAGAUUAAUACAAGAUGGCAUCAUGAGUCCGCAUGUUCACAUGAUUAAAGGUAUUCCGGUAGACGAUGGGGAUGCGUUCCAUUAGAUAGUAGGCGGGGUAACGGCCCACCUAGUCUUCGAUGGAUAGGGGUUCUGAGAGGAAGGUCCCCCACAUUGGAACUGAGACACGGUCCAA